rnacentral:rRNA from 1 species
UGGGGAAUAUUGCACAAUGGGCGCAAGCCUGAUGCAGCCAUGCCGCGUGUAUGAAGAAGGCCUUCGGGUUGUAAAGUACUUUCAGCGAGGAGGAAGGCGUUGUGGUUAAUAACCGCAACGAUUGACGUUACUCGCAGAAGAAGCACCGGCUAACUCCGUGCCAGCAGCCGCGGUAAUACGGAGGGUGCAAGCGUUAAUCGGAAUUACUGGGCGUAAAGCGCACGCAGGCGGUCUGUCAAGUCGGAUGUGAAAUCCCCGGGCUCAACCUGGGAACUGCAUCCGAAACUGGCAGGCUAGAGUCUUGUAGAGGGGGGUAGAAUUCCAAGUGUAGCGGUGAAAUGCGUAGAGAUCUGGAGGAAUACCGGUGGCGAAGGCGGCCCCCUGGACAAAGACUGACGCUCAGGUGCGAAAGCGUGGGGAGCAAACA